AAUGCACCAAUUUGUAAGUCGCUCUGGAUAAGAGCGUCUACUAAAUGAUGUAAA
rfam:Salmo salar isolate Sally breed double haploid chromosome ssa25, whole genome shotgun sequence.